rnacentral:tRNA from 2 species
UGGACCUUUAGCUCAGUUGGUUAGAGCAGACGGCUCAUAACCGUCCGGUCGUAGGUUCGAGUCCUACAAGGUCCAUCC